rnacentral:rRNA from 1 species
GACGAACGCUGGCGGCGUGCUUAACACAUGCAAGUCGAACGGAAAGGCCCUGCUUUUGUGGGGUGCUCGAGUGGCGAACGGGUGAGUAACACGUGAGUAACCUGCCCUUGACUUUGGGAUAACUUCAGGAAACUGGGGCUAAUACCGGAUAGGAGCUCCUGCUGCAUGGUGGGGGUUGGAAAGUUUCGGCGGUUGGGGAUGGACUCGCGGCUUAUCAGCUUGUUGGUGGGGUAGUGGCUUACCAAGGCUUUGACUGGUAGCCGGCCUGAGAGGGUGACCGGCCACAUUGGGACUGAGAUACAGCCCAGACUCCUACGGGAGGCAGCAGUGGGGAAUAUUGCACAAUGGGCGGAAGCCUGAUGCAGCAACGCCGCGUGCGGGAUGACGGCCUUCGGGUUGUAAACCGCUUUCGCCUGUGACGAAGCGUGAGUGACGGUAAUGGGUAAAGAAGCACCGGCUAACUACGUG